GUGGGGAAUAUUGGACAAUGGGCGCAAGCCUGAUCCAGCCAUGCCGCGUGUGUGAAGAAGGCCUUUUGGUUGUAAAGCACUUUAAGCGAGGAGGAGGCUCCUUUAGUUAAUACCUAAAGAGAGUGGACGUUACUCGCAGAAUAAGCACCGGCUAACUCUGUGCCAGCAGCCGCGGUAAUACAGAGGGUGCGAGCGUUAAUCGGAUUUACUGGGCGUAAAGCGUGCGUAGGCGGCUUUUUAAGUCGGAUGUGAAAUCCCUGAGCUUAACUUAGGAAUUGCAUUAGAUACGGGAAAGCUAGAGUAUGGGAGAGGAUGGUAGAAUUCCAGGUGUAGCGGUGAAAUGCGUAGAGAGCUGGGGGAAUACCGAUGGCGAAGGCAGCCAUCUGGCCUAAUACUGACGCUGAGGUACGAAAGCAUGGGGAGCAAACAGGAUUAGAAACCCGAGUAGUCC
rnacentral:rRNA from 1 species